GGGCGCAAGCCUGAUGCAGCGACGCCGCGUGAGGGAUGGAGGCCUUCGGGUUGUAAACCUCUUUUAUCGGGGAGCAAGCGUGAGUGAGUUUACCCGUUGAAUAAGCACCGGCUAACUACGUGCCAGCAGCCGCGGUAAUACGUAGGGUGCGAGCGUUGUCCGGAAUUAUUGGGCGUAAAGGGCUUGUAGGCGGUUUGUCGCGUCUGCCGUGAAAUCCUCUGGCUUAACUGGGGGCGUGCGGUGGGUACGGGCAGGCUUGAGUGCGGUAGGGGAGACUGGAACUCCUGGUGUAGCGGUGGAAUGCGCAGAUAUCAGGAAGAACACC
rnacentral:rRNA from 1 species